GAAAAUGUCACAGUCCAAGUGCAAUACAGCACUAAAACACCACAGCAACGGCCACUUAGCAGCAGGGAUGUUGUCUAAGUAGAUGGAUGGCUGAGUAAGUGUGCUGGUAAUUAGCCUCUGUGUGUUUUGCUGGAUUGCACAUGAAUCCUGCCAUGAGCGGAGGAGCUGAUUGCAUCUCUCCUCAUCCUCACCCCUACACUUCUUUUACUACAUUAGUUUGAACAGUGUUUGCAUAUACUGGCAGAGGAAGCUAAACAUGACCCACUUGAGGCCUUUAUAUGGAUGCAACGCAUAAACAAUUCAUUCUGUUUUUUCUCAGCGGAGACACAUGUGUUGGGGAUGCAAAGGUUUUGGGAAACUCAUUUCAUGCUCAUUGUUUACCUAAUCAGAAAUUCUAAUUGCUUAGUGGGACUAAUUAACUUAUGAAAAAGUAACAGGAGUAUUGUGUACCCCCCAUGUCAUGCUGUUUGUGUACGCCUAUGAAAUAUUCAUACCAUGACAAGGCAGUUUGGCAACUACCACUUGGCUGUAAUAUGAUUUUGUUUGGUCUCAAGUCUCUUGACACUGUCACCAUCAAUUAUGCUGAAGGAAAAUGUGAAGCAACGUCAAAGGCGCACGUCAACAACUGCAAAACAACACAGAGAGUUCAUGUGACGAGAGAGAGGCAGGCGGAAGAUCCUGCGGCUCUGUGCCAUGUGGAAAAAUACGGGGAGCUUCCAAGUGGAGGUGUUUGGUUACUGCUGGGUGUCAUACUGCUCCAGAUGUGACCUCUCCGGACCUCCUGGCAUCCCCACACUACCAGCCUCCCCAGCAGGCUAUAAAGUGAGGCACAGCUGAGGACGCCAUGCAAAAGGUCUUUAUUAAUAUGGAAAUUAAAUCUGUGAUGACAUUGCUCGUGACUUUAAAUUCAACUCACAGUGCCUAGAGGAAGGACAGUGUUCUGCAGACUCAGUGAGAUGAACAUUUUAG
rnacentral:lncRNA from 15 species